rnacentral:rRNA from 1 species
UGGCGGACGGGUGAGUAACGCGUGGGUAACCUGCCUUGUACAGGGGGAUAACAGUUGGAAACGGCUGCUAAUACCGCAUAAGCGCACGGCAUCGCAUGAUGCAGUGUGAAAAACUCCGGUGGUAUAAGAUGGACCCGCGUUGGAUUAGCUAGUUGGUAAGGUAACGGCUUACCAAGGCGACGAUCAGUAGCCGACCUGAGAGGGUGACCGGCCACAUUGGGACUGAGACACGGCCCAA